rnacentral:rRNA from 1 species
CGCGUAAGUAACCUGCCUGGUAGCGGGGGAUAACUAUUGGAAACGAUAGCUAAUACCGCAUAAGAGUAGAUGUUGCAUGACAUUUGCUUAAAAGGUGCAAUUGCAUCACUACCAGAUGGACCUGCGUUGUAUUAGCUAGUUGGUGGGGUAACGGCUCACCAAGGCGACGAUACAUAGCCGACCUGAGAGGGUGAUCGGCCACACUGGGACUGAGACACGGCCCAG